GGCGAUGCACACUCACUGGUGGGCACAUCAUUCCUGCUGUCUGUUCCUAAACAGGUUCAAUGCUGUAAAUAAGAGAUGGUGUUUGCAACACAAGGAGGACGCCAGCUCUUUCAACUCACCUUCUUCCUGACUCGACUCCCAUCAUGCUUCACUCUAAUUCCAUCUCCCUGGAAUAAGAUAGAUAAAAGACUAGCAGAUGUAACCCUGAAGUCAAAGGUGGAGAGAAAAGAAAGGGUCUUGGAUAAAAAGCAGAGCAUCUCUUCCCAUCCCACCCUCACUGCGCUCAAUUCUGCAGCUUUCCAUUGAUCCCCUGCCUAGAAACUGAUCCCCAGGCCGGCGGGGUGCUUGCGGCUUAUAGAUCGCCUUCAGAAAUAGCCUCAUCGGAGGGCAGGAGGACGGGACAAAGGGUCCGGCAACCAGAGAAUCCUCCCUCCCCAGGGCAGGACACCGAUAGCACCCCGUGUGUAUUUAUAGAUGACCAACAGCGAACCUGAAGCUGGAUCAAUACGCUCUGGGAUGGGACAUGACCUGCCCGACAGCCCGGCUGAGAGGAUACAGGCCCCGGGACGCAGAAAAGGGAGAAGCCUCCGUACCUGUGAGAAAUCUGAAAGAUGUAGAAAAACCACAAGAUCAAACCCUGUAUCUUUUUGUUUUCUUCUACACAUCCUCAAAAUGAGAAGCUAAAUUGUCUUAUUCACUCUAAAAAAAAAA